CCAAUCUAGAGUNUCGGAGAGGAAAGUGGAAUUCCUAGUGUAGCGGUGAAAUGCGUAGAUAUUAGGAAGAACACCAGUGGCGAAGGCGACUUUCUGGACGAAAACUGACGCUGAGGCGCGAAAGCCAGGGGAGCGAACGGGAUUAGAUACCCCGGUAGUCCUGGCCGUAAACGAUGGGUACUAGGUGUAGGAGGUAUCGACCCCUUCUGUGCCGGAGUUAACGCAAUAAGUACCCCGCCUGGGGAGUACGACCGCAAGGUUGAAACUCAAAGGAAUUGACGGGGGCCCGCACAAGCGGUGGAGUAUGUGGUUUAAUUCGACGCAACGCGAAGAACCUUACCAGGUCUUGACAUUGAUGGACAGAACCAGAGAUGGUUCCUCUUCUUCGGAAGCCAGAAAACGGGUGGUGCACGGUUGUCGUCAGCUCGUGUCGUGAGAUGUUGGGUUAAGUCCCGCAACGGGCGCAACCCCUAUCUUAUGUUGCCAGCACUCCGGGUGGGGACUCAUGAGAGACUGCCGCAGACAAUGCGGAGGAAGGCGGGGAUGACGUCAAAUCAUCAUGCCCCUUAUGACCUGGGCUACACACGUACUACAAUGGGAGUUAAUAGACGGAAGCGAGAUCGCGAGAUGGAGCAAACCCGAGAAACACUCUCUCAGUUCGGAUCGUAGGCUGCAACUCGCCUACGUGAAGUCGGAAUCGCUAGUAAUCGCAGGUCAGCAUACUGCGGUGAAUACGUUCCCGGGCCUUGUACAC
rnacentral:rRNA from 1 species